rnacentral:snRNA from 1 species
AGAUGUGAGGGCGAUCUAGCUGGGACAUCUGUCACCCCGUUGAUAGCCAGGGUUGAUUCGGCUGAUCUGGCUGACUGGGCAGGUGUCCCCUUCCUCCCUCACCGCUCCAUGUGCGUCCCUCCUGAAGUUGCGCGCUCUCUCGAGGGGACGGCCUUCCCUGAAUAGACGGACUGGUCUUUAGUCGAGGGCAUAGGAGUAGCUGCGCUCCCCUGCUAGAACCUCCAAACAAGCUCUCGAGGUCCAUUUGUAGGAGAACGUAGGGUAGUCAAGCUUCCUAGACUCCAGACACAUCCUAAUGAGGUGCUGCAUGCGGCCGUCUGUCUAUCUUU